AUUGAACGCUGGCGGCAGGCUUAACACAUGCAAGUCGAGCGGAGUGAUGGUGCUUGCACCCUGAUUCAGCGGCGGACGGGUGAGUAAUGCCUAGGAAUCUGCCCGAUAGUGGGGGACAACGUUUCGAAAGGAACGCUAAUACCACAUACGUCCUACGGGAGAAAGUGGGGGCUCUUCGGACCUCACGCUAUCGGAUGAGCCUAGGUCGGAUUAGCUAGUUGGUGGGGUAAAGGCUCACCAAGGCGACGAUCCGUAACUGGUCUGAGAGGAUGAUCAGUCACACUGGAACUGAGACACGGUCCAGACUCCUACGGGAGGCAGCAGUGGGGAAUAUUGGACAAUGGGCGAAAGCCUGAUCCAGCCAUGCCGCGUGUGUGAAGAAGGUCUUCGGAUUGUAAAGCACUUUAAGUCGGGAGGAAGGGCUGUAGGUUAAUACCUUGCAGCCUUGACGUUACCGACAGAAUAAGCACCGGCUAACUUCGUGCCAGCCGCCGCGGUAAGAC
rnacentral:rRNA from 1 species